rnacentral:lncRNA from 1 species
AUACGCUGGCUUUUGGAAAUAUGUAGCCUUGUUGGCUUCAGGGGUGGGUCAGCUGCCUUUAUCUCAGAUUCUUGAAUUAGUGGAAAUGGAGAUAAUACUAAACUUGUAAUUCACAGUGGUGCUCUUUCUUUCUUUUCCACAUCUAAAGAUUUAUUUUAGGUGUGUGUGUGUGUGUGUGUGUGUGUGUGUGUGUCCCAAAGGAGUCUUGCAGAGAGAGGAAGGCGCCCCUGGAGACGGAGUUACAGGUAGGUGUCAGCCACCAAUGUGGGUGCUGGGAACCAGACUCUGGCCCUCUCUGGAAGCACAGCCAGCACUCUUAGCUGCUGCGCCAUCUCUCCAGCCCCUCUGUCACAUUUGUGUGACUGAGUCGUUGCAGUAGGAUAGCAACUUAGAGUGUGCCAUGUUUCCAUGUAGGAAUGGAGACUUAGAGGAGUGGGGGGCUUUGCCGAGGUCUUGCGUCCAGGCUCAGCCUACUUCACCCGCACUGGGACUCACUCAGGCUGGGGUUUCUGCUGAGCUCUUCUUACUCUCUGGUUCUCCAUCCUGGUCAUCUAUCGGGUCUGCCCUGCCCCUCAGUAUCCUGGAGUCCAGAAGGCAGGGGAGUCUGUGACUCCUUCCCAGCCUUCAGGUGACAUGUCUUUCUCUUCGUGUCCUCUUUGGUGUAAUGUCUACCAGUUUUUAAACCGUUUCUCCAGGACACUUAGUGUUAUGGUUGCUGUCUCAUCUGGACACAUUCUGCUGUGUCAGUGUGAGGCCAGUUUGCUGGGACCGGGUCUCUCCACGACAAGUAAUCCAUGUUUGCAGCGGAGUGCUGGGACUGAAGGCGCGUGACACCACUGCCCAGCUUUUUGCUUUUUCAGACUCUCUCAUGUAGCUUAGGCCAGCCGUAGACUUGCUGGUAUUGUGUGAGAAUGACUCUGAACUCUCGAUUUUCUUACUUCCACCUCCCAAGUGCUAGGGUUGUAGAUGUGUACCUUUUUGCCUGGUGGAGAGAGGUGGGGAUAGAGAUGGGGAGAGGAGAGGGGAUGAGAACGACUAUGUAGGCCAGGAGUCAUCCUUGACUGUAUUCUUCAGGAGCCACCUACUUUACUGAGACAGAAAGUUUUAGUGGGCUCUGAAGUUUAUUUGGCUAAGCUGGUCAAACAUCACACAUCAGGAGCCCACCUAUCUCCGCCUCUGCCUCUCUAGUGAUGGAAUUACAAGUUCAUUCGAAACCACACCAGGCUUUUUUUCUUUUCACUGGGGUGCUGAGGACCUAAGCUCAAGUUUUCAGUUUUUCAUAGCCGGCAACUGUCUUAGUUAGGGUUUCCUUGCUGUGAAGAGUCACCGUGACCGAGGUAACUCUAAUAAAGGCAAACAUUUAAUUGGGCUGCCGUACAGGCUCCAAGGGUCAGUCCAUUGUCACCAUGGAGGGAAGCAUGGCAGUGUGCAGGUAGGAUGGCACAGGAGAAGCUGAGAGUUCUAGAUCUUGUUCCAAAGGAAAACAGGAGAAGACUGGCUUCCACGCAGUUAGGAUGAGGGUCUCAGAGCCCACUCCCACAGUGACUCACUUUCUCAAGCAAGGCAACACCCACUCCAACAAGGUCACACCUCCUAAUAGUACCACUCCCUGGACCAAACAUAUUCAAACCACCACACCAAUCCAGCCAUUUCCCAAACCUCAUUCAGGAAUUAAAAAGAACAGACAAAACAACAACAGAAAACCUCUUGGCCAGAUAGGGUUUUUUAUAUACUUUUUUAAAAAAUUAUUAUUAUUGAUACUUUUAAAGUGAUUGUAAAGGUUUUGGAAUGUGGACAGUUUGAAGUGUAGUUUACACAGCUUAUCCUUGCAACAUUGUGUUAGUGAAAAGCUUGAUAUUAGUAGCUAUUUUUCUUUAAACACAAGAGCUUCCACAGAGAGCAAGUGGCUGAAGAUGCAAUUUGUAGUUCCCAUGAGUGCAUCUUACUUUUUUUUGAUGUGAAUAUUAAUUCCUGCAUGUGACUCCUGUGUCCAGGCUGUAGUAGUUGUCAUAGGACAACUAUGUAUGGUAACAUGUUCUGUUAGAAUACAAAGAUAAAGACGUUUUUAACAGGCACUUUUAGUUAGCUUUUUUUUUUGUUCCUGUGAAACUAGGGAGAAUAGAAUUAAUUAGUUAAAAACAAAACAAAACCCCCACUUAAAAAAUGUUAUCAAUAUUACUAUUAAAGGGAAUAAAACGUGUGUUUUGCUGGGGAUUGAACACAGGACGCUGGGCAUGCUAAGCAAGUGCUCUUCCACUCAGUACAGCUGAUGGAGCUGUAGAGCACUCAGCCACCCUGCCAGCAGUAUAAAACUCAGACCAGAAAAGACGUUAGUCAGUAGUAACCGGACCUGUUGAUGCACGUCUGUUGCGGACCAUGCUGGAGCCUUGUCAGCUACAUGUGGUUUGUGUUUAUUUUUCUAAUAGCUAGAGCCCAGUGCCUGAGAGAAGCCCCGGUUAGAACACCAGGGAAUUCCGCAGGAGCAGACACACUAACGACAGGUGUCAUUAGCCCCGAGAGGAGGUAAGUGCUGCUCUUCCGACUCCAUUCUUUAGUGUAGGCCAUGGGAUUACUCUUCUCAUCUGGGAGAAAAAUCAGCAGAGGGAGCCAAGACAGAUGCUGCUGGAAGCGGGCAUCUCUGUGUGAGGACGGCCUGGGGCUGAGCAUGGCUACUGGAACAGCAUGGAGUCAGAAACUAAUGACUUCCAGCACAGCGAGCCAGGAAGGCAGGGACCCUGCCUCUGGCUAUCACUUCCUUCUCCAAGGCCACUUAGGUCCAUUUCUCUGCCAGUGGAGUAGAGGUGCAAUAGUGAAAUAGUAGAGGUGAAAAUAGACUAUAAACUGGUUAUUGGAUGCUGCUGCAGGUAUUAUCAGUUUUUAUGUUGUUGAUACUGUGGUUGGAUAAGAAGAUAUUCUUACUUGUUGGAUGUGUACACAGAAAGAAGUGUUUCAGAAUAGAAGAAUUAUGAUACCUUCUGGCAGCUAAGCAAGUAUGUAAAUGUACUUAAUCUGUGUAUUGUCUAUAUACACAGAGAAAGCCACUGACCAAAUAUUAGCAGUUGUUGGCCCUAGGAGGAUAUGUGGUAUUCUGAUGUCUCUAUGUUUGAUUUAAACAAAAAAGUGAAAGGGCUGAGCCUUGUGGCAUAGCAUAGGCCUGGAUCUCACCUACUUGGGAGGCUGAGGUAGGACCACAAGUUCAAGGUCAGCCCGUGUAACUUAAUGAAGAUCCUACC